UACGGAGGGUGCAAGCGUUAUCCGGAUUCACUGGGUUUAAAGGGUGUGUAGGCGGGUGUUUAAGUCAGUGGUGAAAUCUCCAGGCUCAACCUGGAAACUGCCAUUGAUACUAUUCAUCUUGAAUUCUGUUGAGGUGGGCGGAAUAUAUCAUGUAGCGGUGAAAUGCUUAGAUAUGAUAUAGAACACCGAUUGCGAAGGCAGCUCACUAAACAGCGAUUGACGCUGAGGCACGAAAGCG
rnacentral:rRNA from 1 species